rnacentral:rRNA from 1 species
CCUACGGGUGGCAGCAGUGGGGAAUAUUGCGCAAUGGGCGAAAGCCUGACGCAGCGACGCCGCGUGAGGGAUGAAGGUCUUCGGAUCGUAAACCUCUGUCAGCAGGGAAGAACGGUCACUGUGCUAAUCAGCAGUGAAUUGACGGUACCUGCAAAGGAAGCACCGGCUAACUCCGUGCCAGCAGCCGCGGUAAUACGGAGGGUGCGAGCGUUAAUCGGACUUACUGGGCGUAAAGCGCUCGUAGGCGGUAUGUCAAGUCAAGGGUGAAAUCCCCGGGCUCAACGUGGGAACUGCCUUUGAAACUGGCAAACUGGAGUGUGUGAGAGGAUAGUGGAAUUCCAGGUGUAGGAGGGAAAUGCGUAGAUAUCUGGAGGAACAUCAGUGGCGAAGGCGACUAUCUGGCACAUAACUGACGCUGAGGAGCGAAAGCGUGGGUAGCAAACAGGAUUAGAUACCCUAGUAGUC